AUUGAACGCUGGCGGCAGGCUUAACACAUGCAAGUCGAGCGGGGGAAGGUAGCUUGCUACCGGACCUAGCGGCGGACGGGUGAGUAAUGCUUAGGAAUCUGCCUAUUAGUGGGGGACAACAUCUCGAAAGGGAUGCUAAUACCGCAUACGGCCUACGGGAGAAAGCAGGGGAUCUUCGGACCUUGCGCUAAUAGAUGAGCCUAAGUCGGAUUAGCUAGUUGGUGGGGUAAAGGCCUACCAAGGCGACGAUCUUUAGCGGGUCUGAGAGGAUGAUCCGCCACACUGGGCCUGAGACACGGCCCAGACUCCUACGGGAGGCAGCAGUGGGGAAUAUUGGACAAUGGGGGGAACCCUGAUCCAGCCAUGCCGCGUGUGUGAAGAAGGCCUUAUGGUUGUAAAGCACUUUAAGCGAGGAGGAGGCUACUUUAGUUAAUACCUAGAGAUAGUGGACGUUACUCGCAGAAUAAGCACCGGCUAACUCUGUGCCAGCAGCCGCCGUAA
rnacentral:rRNA from 1 species